UACGUAGGGCGCGAGCGUUGUCCGGAAUUAUUGGGCGUAAAGAGCUCGUAGGCGGCUUGUCAAGUUGGGAGUGAAAUCCCGGGGCUUAACCUCGGAGCUGCUUUCAAAACUGGCAGGCUAGAGUUUGGUAGGGGAUAGUGGAAUUUCUAGUGUAGAGGUGAAAUUCGUAGAUAUUAGAAAGAACACCGGUGGCGAAGGCGGCUACCUGGACAAUUGCUGACGCUCAGGCACGAAAGCGUGGGGAGCGAACAGG
rnacentral:rRNA from 1 species